GAUGAAGAACGUAGCGAAAUGCGAUAAGUAGUGUGAAUUGCAGAAUUCAGUGAAUCAUCGAAUCUUUGAACGCACAUUGCGCCCCUUGGUAUUCCAUGGGGCAUGCCUGUUCGAGCGUCAUUUGUACCUUCAAGCUCUGCUUGGUGUUGGGUGUUUGUCUCGCCCCUGCGUGUAGACUCGCCUCAAAACAAUUGGCAGCCGGCGUAUUGAUUUCGGAGCGCAGUACAUCUCGCGCUUUGCACUCAUAACGACGACGUCCAAAAGUACAUUUUUACACUCUUGACCUCGGAUCAGGUAGGGAUACCCGCUGAACUUAAGCAUAUCAAUAAGCGGAGGA
rnacentral:misc_RNA from 1 species